rnacentral:misc_RNA from 1 species
UGCCUGUUUGAGCGUCAUUUCUCCCUCAAACCCCCGGGUUUGGUGUUGAGCAAUACGCUAGGUUUGUUUGAAAGAAUUUAACGUGGAAACUUAUUUUAAGCGACUUAGGUUUAUCCAAAAACGCUUAUUUUGCUAGUGGCCACCACAAUUUAUUUCAUAACUUUGACCUCAAAUCAGGUAGGACUACCCGCUGAACUUAA